rfam:Ornithorhynchus anatinus chromosome 4, whole genome shotgun sequence.
CCCCUCUCAGGGUCACACCUGGAGAGUUCCCAGCACUCUACCAGUCUCGACUAUAAGAGGGAGAGUCCGGCAGAGGUAUGCCCAUUCCAUUCCUAGCUUGGGCAGUGGCUAGGGAGUGGAAGACAAUUUGCUACAAGU